rnacentral:rRNA from 1 species
GAUGAACGCUGGCGGCGUGCCUAAUACAUGCAAGUCGAGCGAACAGACGAGGAGCUUGCUCCUCUGACGUUAGCGGCGGACGGGUGAGUAACACGUGGAUAACCUACCUAUAAGACUGGGAUAACUUCGGGAAACCGGAGCUAAUACCGGAUAAUAUAUUGAACCGCAUGGUUCAAUAGUGAAAGACGGUUUUGCUGUCACUUAUAGAUGGAUCCGCGCCGCAUUAGCUAGUUGGUAAGGUAACGGCUUACCAAGGCAACGAUGCGUAGCCGACCUGAGAGGGUGAUCGGCCAAACUGGAACUGAGACACGGGCCAGAACCCUACGGGAGGCAGCAGUAGGGAAUCUUCCGCAAUGGGCGAAAGCCUGACGGAGCAACGCCGCGUGAGUGAUGAAGGUCUUCGGAUCGUAAAACUCUGUUAUUAGGGAAGAACAAAUGUGUAAGUAACGAUGCACGUCUUGACGGUACCUAAUCAGAAAGCCACGGCUAACUACGU